CACACCGCCCGUCACACCACGAGAGUUUGUAACACCCGAAGCCGGUGGAGUAACCAUUUGGAGCUAGCCGUCGAAGGUGGGACAAAUGAUUGGGGUGAAGUCGUAACAAGGUAGCCGUAUCGGAAGGUGCGGCUGGAUCACCUCCUUUCUAAGGA
rnacentral:rRNA from 2 species